rnacentral:rRNA from 1 species
GACGUAGGGCGCGAGCGUUGUCCGGAUUUAUUGGGCGUAAAGAGCUCGUAGGCGGCUUGUCGCGUCGGCUGUGAAAACCCGCGGCUCAACUGUGGGCGGGCAGCUGAUACGGGCAGGCUGGAGUGUGGCAGAGGAGACUGGAAUUCCCGGUGUAGCAGUGAAAUGCGUAGAUAUCGGGAGGAAUACCGAUGGCGAAGGCAGGUCUCUGGGCUGACACUGACGCUCAUGCACGAAAGCGUGGGGAGCAAACAGG